GGGGAAUCCGCAAGGCGCCGACUCUCUUCCUCCUUGCAAGCCCUUCGAAAGUGAGAUUUCUCACCCCACCCUUGCAGGGUGGAGAGAACACGUUUCAAAAAGGGGAUGCCUAGAACUCAGCCGUGGGAAGUGCCUGUCUAAAGCCUUGUGCUGGUGCCAGUAGCAAACCCGUGCGCGUGCUCGGCUUUGAGCGAUCAUGGAGCUCUGCAAAUAGCUCAACUGCAGAGCGUGCCCCUUAGAGCUCCUGUGCUGCUGGGAGGCCUCAUAAAGGUGCCAAAACCAGGUGUCCCCAGCGGUUGGCCUCUUUAAAAAGAAAAAAAAAAAAAGGCGGAGU
rnacentral:lncRNA from 1 species